AGUGAACGCUGGCGGCGUGCCUAAUACAUGCAAGUCGAACGAAGUGGCGCACGGGCGAGUAAUAUAUAGUUAAUCUGCCCUACACAGAGGAACAACAGUUGGAAACGACUGCUAAUACCUCAUAGUGUAGGUUGAGACUAUAUCGUAUCAGCUAGUUGGUAAGGUAAUGGCGUACCAAGGGUAUGACGCGUAACUGGUCUGAUAAGAUGAUCAGUGACCUUGGAAUUGAGGCACCGUCCAAACUCGUACGGGAGGCAGGAGGAAGGAAUACUGCGCAAGAGGGGUAUCCGUAACGCGGCAUCGCCGCGUGGAGGAUGGCACUUUUCGGGGCGUAAACUCCUUUUAUCAGGAAAGCGGUACCUGAUGAAUAAGCACCGGCUAACUCCGUGCCAGCAGCCGCGGUAAUAC
rnacentral:rRNA from 1 species